rnacentral:lncRNA from 1 species
CGACGCGCUGUCUCCCUCAUCACGGCGCCUUCUUCCCCAACCAUCAGCUUCCUCACCGCCACGGCGACGCGGUCCCGGUCGAACACCUCGCCGAGCUCCAGCCCGACGCCCCACUGGUGCGUCACGUACCUCGCGUUCACCGUCUGGUCGGCGAAGCACGGCCGCGCGAGCAUGGGCACCCCCUCACAGACGCUCUCCAGCGUCGAGUUCCACCCGCAGUGCGUCCAGAACCCGCCGAUGGCCGGGUGCGCCAGGACGUCCCUCUGCGGCGCCCAUGGCACGAUCUUGCCCCUGCUCACGUCGACCCCCGCUGGCAUACAGCCGCGGACGGAGCCGGGCCGGUUGACCCAGAGGAACGGCACGCCGCUGGCGGCGAGACCCCACGCCAUUUCGUCGAACAUGUCGUGGUCGAUGCAGGCGACGCUCCCCAGGCUCACGUACAGCACGGAGCGCGGCGGGUGCGCGUCCAGCCACGCGAGGCAGGCGCAGUCCGGACCGUACAGGCGCACGAAAUGGCGGUACUGCUCCGCCGCCGUCCUCGCCGUGGUGAGCUUGUGCAGCGGCCCGACGGCGAAGGUUGGCUUGGACAGCUCGGCCUCGAUCUUGCCCAGUUCCGACGCCUCGAUGGCGUCGAACGUGUUGACGACGACCCCAGACGCCGAAUCCCGCAUCGCGUCGGCGACGCGGGCGAUGAAGCCGCACAGCGCCUCCGUCUCGCAGCCGUCGACGCGGAUCAGGUCUCGCAUCCGGAGCGGCUCCAGCUCCGGCACCGCCUCAUCCAGCCGCUCGCCUGCAGGGAUAAUCCACAAAGAUUCAGCGAGAACGAAGUGGCACUCAUCUGAGUUCUCCCCCAAGAUUCAAGCUCGAAUUCAUCCGUUCUUGCCUUGGAUUGGGAUGAAUCCGGCGUCGCGCAGCCGCGGGAAGGCGAGCAUGCUGCGGAACGUGGCGGCGCUGUCCGUCCGGAGCGCGAGCGUGGGGACGCCGAGCCGGGCCGCCGCGCCCAGCGCCGCGUACCACUGCCCGUCCACCACGGCGCACGCCACGCCGGGGAGCAGCGACGCCAGGGCGUCCCGGAACGGGGCCUCGCAGGCGGCGUUGAGCGCGAGGAGCUGCGCGACGAUUUCAUCUGCCCUCUGCUUAACCUCAGCCCCCUCCUCACCUUCCAUCAACCUCCUAAUGGCCUCCUCAAUUUUCCCUCUCUCUAGCUUACCCUCCACCCGAAAACCUAUCUGCCACGUCUCCUGCACCACCUCCGUCUGCGGUGCCCAAUCGACCACUUUGCACCUACCCUCCACUGCUUCCACAAACCCCUCCGGUAGCUCCGAUUUCCCCGAGACACCGAUAACGAGACCAGGACGAACCACCCAUAGGAAAGGCCUUCCACUGUUUGCCAAACCCCAGGCUACCUCCUUGAACUCAUCCUGGCUCACCAUGACCACACUCCCAAAACUCACAUAUAGCACGGAUCCGGGCUCCUUCGUGUCCAGCCACUCGAUGCAGCUCCGGUCCUGGUCCAGCAGGCUGCUCCUAUCGCCAUUGCUGGUGAGCUUGUGGAGAGGGCCAAUGGCGAAGACCGGAAUGGUGGCGCCGAGCUCGUCACGAACUGAGCGCAGUUCAGGGGUUUCAAGAGCUUCGAAUGUGUUCACCACUGUGCCGGAGGAGUUCGUUGUGGUUUCGGUAGAGAGAGCCAGGAUUUUGUUGGCCAUUUCCUCGUUGAAGUACUUGCUUGGGUCGAACAGGUCUGAUACACGCAGUGGUGGCAUCUCCUCCACUGGCCUCUCAUUUGCUCUUUCCCUCAUCUCAGCUCCCUCAUUUUUCCCCAUUAAUUUCAUAAUCGCUUUCUCAAUUUUGCACCACUCUAACUUUCCCUCGAGCUCAAACCCUGCACCCCACACUGCUUCCACGUACCUUUUCCAUCCACCGUGUGUCCAAAACCCGCCCACCGCACAGUGUGCCAGCACCUCCUACUGUGGGGCCCACUUAAUCACCUUACCCCUACCUUCCACCGCACUCUCAAACCCAUCCGGCAAGCAUGCUCUCUCCACACCCCUCACAAGGUUUGGACGAACCACUCAUAGAAAAGGAUGGCCGCUCUUCUCCAACCCAAAUGCGACCUCCAUGAACUCGUCGGAGUCCAUGGAUGCCAAGCUCCCAAAGCUCACGUACAACACGGACCCUGUCGCCUGCGUGUCCAGCCACUCGAUGCAGCUCUGGUCUUGGCGUGUUGCUCCCAGUGUUCAUGGAGGAGAGCCUGUGGAGUGGGCCAGUGGCGAGCACGGUGGCUACGCUGUCGUCACCAAGCUCGCCGUGGACCCUCUCGAGCUCCAUGGGUUCCAGCUCUUCGAAUGUGUUGAUCACCACGCCAUUGGAGUUCCUCACCGUUUCGGCGAUCCGAGCAAGCACUUCGAAAACCAGUUCAUCACGGUGCUGAAAAGGUCCCUUACUCGCAGUGGUGGUAGCUCCUUCACUGGUUUACAUAUCAUUGGGACUCCCUCACUAACACUCUCUAGCGUCGAGUUCCACCCAUUGUGCGUCCAAAACCCUCCCACUGCGUGGUGUGCUAGCACCUCUUGCUGUGGGGCCCACUUAAUCACCUUACCCCUACCCUCCACCGCACGCUCGAACCCAUCCGGCAAACUUGGUUUAUCCAAACCCUUCAUAAGGUCUGGUCGAACCACCCAUAGAAAAGGCUGGCCACUGCUCUCCAAUCCCCAUGCCACCUCCAAGAACUCGUUGGAGUCCAAUGAUGCUAAGCUCCCAAAGCUCACGUACAACACGGAUCCCGUCGCCUGCGUGUCCAGCCACUCGAUGCAGCUCCGGUCCGGGCGCAGGUGCAGGCUGCCCCCGGCGUUCAUGGGGGAGAGCUUGUGGAGCGGGCCGACGGCGAGCACGAUGGCGACGCCGUCGCCGUCAAGCUCGCGCCGGAUCCUCUCGAGCUCGGCCGGCUCCAGCUCGUCGAACGUGUUGAUCACCACACCGCAAAUAGCCCUUUUGGAGGAGCGCGGGGUAGGCGAGGUAGCAGCCGAGGCAGGCGGCGCUGCCGGUGCGGAGCACGAGCGUGGGGAGGCCGAGCUCGGCGGCGGUCUUCUGCGCGGCCAUGAGGUUACCGUCGAUGAUGAGGCACGACGCGCGGGGCUUCCGCCCCUCGUCGUCGGCGGCGACCACCGACGCGAGCACGUCGCGGAAGGACGGCGACGACUCACCGCCGUCCAUGGCGACGUUCAGGGCUACGAUGAUGUCGACGAUGUUACCAUUCGCGGCGACGUCGGGCGGGAUGCCGUCGGGCACCUCGGCGAACGCGAGCUCCGGGUAGCGCGACGGGUCGAUCGCGUUGAAGCGGGUGUGGAGCACGGUGACGGACAGCUCGCCGCCGCCGCCGCCACGGCGGCCGUGGAGCGCGCCGGCGAGCUGCAGCAUCGGGUUGAUGUGGCCCUGGAACGGAAGCGGGAACACCAGCACCCGGCGCCGCCUGCUGCUUCCAUCGCCGCCGCCGCGGCGCGUCGCUCCGUCGACGCUGGCCAUCGUGUUGCUCGCCGUGUCUCAGCUCGGGCGCGCGAGGCAAAGCAGACGGGACGGUGUGUGUACCGGUUUAUCAGCUGCGGGUGGGGUGGGCCCCACGUGUCGGUGACGUGA